rnacentral:rRNA from 1 species
UACGUAGGGGGCGAGCGUUGUCCGGAAUCAUUGGGCGUAAAGCGCGUGUAGGCGGUCCGAUAAGUUCGCUGUGAAAGUCGGGGGCUUAACCCUCGGAUGCCGGUGGAUACUGUCGGGCUUGAGUACGGAAGAGGCGAGUGGAAUUCCUGGUGUAGCGGUGAAAUGCGCAGAUAUCAGGAGGAACACCAAUUGCGAAGGCAGCUCGCUGGGACGGUACUGACGCUGAGGCGCGAAAGCGUGGGGAGCAAACAGG